AUGGCGGAGGCCGCGAUAGCCGGGGUGGACCCUCUCCUCAGAGAUCUGCCAGAUGAGGUCGUCAUCUGGGAGAUCCUCGUCCGCCUCGACCCGAAAUCCCUCCUCCGCUGCCGCGCCGUCCGCCGCGCCUGGCGCCGCGCCACCUCCACUCGCCGCUUCCUCCUCGCCCACCCCAUCGCUACCGGCCAGGAUCAAGGCGACAGCCGCUUCUACCGAAGCAUCCUCACCUUCGACCACUGGGCCGCCGACGCCCAGCUCCAACACGUCACCCGGCUAGACGACCCGUUCUCUCGUCUGGAGGCCUCCUGCGACGGCCUCAUCCUCCUCCGUUCCUAUGACACUACCUACUUCUCCAUCUGUAACCCAGCCACUCGCCAGUGCGCUCGCCUGCCAAUCCCCUCUGACUUCAUUGUCUACGGAAUGUACCCGCACCAUCCUUCCGGCGAGUACAGAAUUCUGUUGUACGACGAAAAUCCUGAAAAAUCCGGCGAUGAUGCCUGCUACAUCUUCGUAGUGGGCUCUGUCCAGCCACCGAGGAACAUCAGGUGGCAGCCAGAGGCGAGGGAUGCGUGUUACGGCAACGGGGAAGCUGUCCUGUUGCGGGGCAACCUGCAUUGGUCAGUAAAUCCGGUUGAGGUUGGAAGCAAUACUAUAGUGGUUUUUGAUACGACAGCUGAGUCGUUCCGGGCGAUGCGUGCUCCAGUUGCUCUGUUCGUUCCUUGCUACAAUCAUCUGUUUGAGAUUGAUGGUGUGCUUGGCAUGUACAGCUAUGGUCAUACUGCGACUACCAUCAAUAUCUGGGUGUUGCCCGACUAUGAAAGUGAAGUCACGACCUUAAAGUGCAGGAUUGAUUUGCUAGUUACUGAGAUCGAGGGGCUGUGUGGAAACUAUCAAAGUUCUAGGUACGUGGUGGUCUUGCCUGGAAAUGGUGACUUGUUCGUGCUGGGCAGAUUUGGCGACUGUCUACAACACAAUUGA
rnacentral:rRNA from 1 species